GCUACACAUGCAGUCGUACGAGAGUUUUUAACUCAAGUGGCGGACGGGUGAGUAACACGUGAGAAUUUACCUUUAGGAGGGGGACAACAAUUGGAAACGAUUGCUAAUACCCCAUAUGCUCUAGAGUGAAACGGAUUUUUCCGCCUAAAGAAAAGCUCGCGGCUGAUUAGCUUGUUGGUAAGGUAAUGGCUUACCAAGGCGACGAUCAGUAUCUGGUUUGAGAGGACGAUCAGACACACUGGAACUGAGACACGGUCCAGACUCCUACGGGAGGCAGCAGUGGGGAAUUUUCCGCAAUGGGCGAAAGCCUGACGGAGCAAUACCGCGUGAGGGAAGACGGCCUAUGGGUUGUAAACCUCUUUUUUCAGGGAGGAACAAAAUGACGUGUACCUGAAGAAUAAGCAUCGGCUAACUCCGUGCCAGCAGCCGCGGUAAGACGGAGGAUGCAAGUGUUAUCCGGAAUCACUGGGCGUAAAGCGUCUGUAGGUGGUUUGUUAAGUCAACUGUUAAAUCUUGAGGCUCAACUUCAAAUCAGCAGUCGAAACUAUCAGACUAGAGUAUAGUAGGGGUAAAGGGAAUUUCCAGUGGAGCGGUGAAAUGCGUAGAUAUUGGAAAGAACACCGAUGGCGAAGGCACUUUACUGGGCUAUUACUAACACUCAGAGACGAAAGCUAGGGUAGCAAAUGGGAUUAGAUACCCCAGUAGUCCUAGCUGUAAACAAUGGAUACUAGAUGUUGAACAGAUCGACCUGUGCAGUAUUAAAGCUAACGCGUUAAGUAUCCCGCCUGGGAAGUAUGCUCG
rnacentral:rRNA from 1 species